GCUAAACGCGAAGAACCUUACCUACCCUUGACAUGUCUGGAAUCCCGAAGAGAUUUGGGAGUGCCGCAAGGAACCAUGAGACAGGUGCUGCAUGGCUGUCGUCAGCUCGUGUCGUGAGAUGUUGGGUUAAGUCCCGCAACGAGCGCAACCCUUGUCCUUAGUUGCCAUCAUUAAGUUGGGAACUCUAAGGAGACCGCCGGUGACAAACCGGAGGAAGGUGGGGAUGACGUCAAGUCAUCAUGGCCUUUAUGGCCAGGGCUACGCACGUGCUACAAUGGCAGGUACAGAGGGAGGCCAACCGGCGACGGGGAGCCAAUCCCAGAAAGCCUGUCUUAGUCCGGAUUGCAGUCUGCAACUCGACUGCAUGAAGUUGGAAUCGCUAGUAAUCGCAGAUCAGCAUUGCUGCGGUGAAUACGUUCCCGGG
rnacentral:rRNA from 1 species